CAGCAGCAGUAUUUUUUUAAAUUAUGUUUUUCAAAAAUCCUUCAAGUCACAGCUGGCUCCUCUUGAAGUCUCCUUCGCCUCACUCUGGCAGGUCCUUCUCUGGUGCUUCCAGUGUAUGUGACACCCACCCACAUCCAGCGGCCUGGUUAUCUUUUCUUUGCAAGGUUGGAAGCUCUUUGAGGAGAGAGACCUACACUUUGAUCUUUGAAUUCCCAGGACCUAGAACAGCGCUUGGCACACAGAGUAACCUCUAAUAAAUAUGUGAUGGUUGAAUGAA